AAAGAGUCCAUUGAGUCACAUCUUAUCCAUAUUUUAACAUGUGGGAAGAAAAUUCGCAGCAAAGAGCUUUGAUACAUGUUUUGACAGAGAGAGACAGAGAGCAAAAGAGUAAAGACCAAGACUAGGGCAUCUCGUUCCGAACCAUGAGCUGCUUUCCAAAAUUAAACAGCUGGGUGAUCUGAUCACCAUGAUUGAGUAAAUACUAUGAGCUAUAAGGAACAGAUGU
rnacentral:misc_RNA from 1 species